UCCCUCCGUCUGGAAUUACUUGUCGCAUAAAUUGAUAAAAAUGGAUGUAUCUAGAACUAAAAUACGUCUAGAUACAUCCAUUUCUCCGACAAGUAUUUCUGGACGGAGGGA
rnacentral:pre_miRNA from 1 species